rnacentral:misc_RNA from 1 species
GAUGAAGAACGUAGCGAAAUGCGAUAAGUAAAGUGAAUUGCAGAAUUCAGUGAAUCAUCGAAUCUUUGAACGCACAUUGCGCCCAUUAGUAUUCUAGUGGGCAUGCCUGUUCGAGCGUCAUUAAGUCCACUUAAGCCCUGCUUAGUGUUGGGAGACUGCUCCAGCGGUGCUACCCUGUAGCUACCCUGCAGCUCCUCAAAGACAGCGGCGGAGUUGUGGUAUCCUCUGAGCUUAGUAACUUGUUCUAGCUUUCGAGUACACCACUUCCCCUGCCGUAAAACCCUUAAUUUUUAAUGGUUGACCUCGGAUCAGGUAGGAAUACCCGCUGAACUUAAGCAUAUCAAUAAGCGGAGGA